CCUACGGGGGCUGCAGUGGGGAAUAUUGCACAAUGGGCGCAAGCCUGAUGCAGCCAUGCCGCGUGGAUGAAGAAGGCCUUCGGGGUGUAAAGUACUUUCAGUCGUGGGGAAGGUGGUAAGGUUAAUAACCCUAGCAAUUGACGGUAGCGAACGAAAGAGGAACGGCCUACCUCGUGCCAGCAGCCGCGGGAAUACGGAGGGUGCGGGCGGUAAUCUGAAUUACUGGGCGGAAAGGGCAAGCAGGGGGUUAAUUAAGUUGGAUGUGAACUCCCCGGGCUUAACCUGGGAAUGGCAUUCAAGACUGGUUAGCUAGAGUCUUGUAGAGGGGGGUAGAAUUCCAUGUGUAGCGGUGAAAUGCGUAGAGAUGUGGAGGAAUACCGGUCGCGAAGGCGGCCCCCUGGACAAAGACUGACGCUCAUGUGCGAAAGCGUGGGGAGCAAACAGGAUUAGAUACCCUAGUAGUC
rnacentral:rRNA from 1 species